rnacentral:rRNA from 1 species
UACGUAGGGUGCAAGCGUUGUCCGGAAUUAUUGGGCGUAAAGAGCUUGUAGGCGGUUUGUCGCGUCUGCUGUGAAAUUUCGGGGCUCAACCCCGAACUUGCAGUGGGUACGGGCAGACUAGAGUGUGGUAGGGGAGACUGGAAUUCCUGGUGUAGCGGUGAAAUGCGCAGAUAUCAGGAGGAACACCGGUGGCGAAGGCGGAUCUCUGGGCCUGUCCUGACGCUGAGGCGCGAAAGCUAGGGGAGCGAACAGG